CAGAUUCAUGUUACAGUUUAUUGUUUUUAAGAUUACAAAAGUGUGAGGUCAUAUUUUAAUCUUAUACGAAUUUCAUAUGAAAAAUGAGAAAAGCAUCCACUCAUCAUACAAAAGGGACACGAGUGAGUUUGGACUGAAAAAAAGAUGACAAAAAGGAAAAAGAACCCAGCCAAUAAUGCAGCAAAAUUCUAUUCUUUGACGGUCUUAUCCACUGGAAUAGUCAGAGCAGGAGCAUUCCACUUCUGAGCAUUAUGAUCCCCAAGCUCACAGAGUCUAACAACUUCUCCAAGUAAGUCAAUGGAAAUAAUGGAGAGGGAGUUGGGUAUACGACUAUUCCAUCACUCCAGCUUGAAAUUAGCCACCCGAGGGCAUCACCUUUGCCAUCUUGAAGUUAUUAAAAGUAUCAGGACCUAAAGAACAAACUAUAAAAUACUGAAACACACCAUGCAAAUAUACGCACAUUACUCUGCUAAAUAUCGGAACCAAAGUAAUCUAUUUAGAGAAAAGGGGUGAGAGGUGGCCUUUUUACUAAUCUCCAAGAGUGCUUGUGAAUUAAUUCAAACCUGGUAAAAUCUUUCACUUGAAGGAAUCAAGGUUGUUAUGUUACGGGACCCUCCGUUAAAGAAACAGAGGCUUUGAAGUGGAGGUUUAUUCAUCCUUCCCCGGAUGGACUGGAAAAUUGGCAGUGCCCAGGUUCAUCACAGGACAGAUACUCAGGACAUGCUGAUCUCGGAGAGUUGAAGGAACAAAAAAA
rnacentral:lncRNA from 10 species